AUUGAACGCUGGCGGCGUGCUUAACACAUGCAAGUCGAUCGGUAACGCGGGGGCAACCCUGGCGACGAGAGGCGGACGGGUGAGGAACGCUUGGGAAUCUGCCUAUCAGCGGGGGGCAACCCGGGGAAACUCGGGCUAAUACCGCAUACGCUCUACGGAGGAAAGCCGGGGACCGCAAGGCCUGGCACUGAUAGAUGAGCCCAAGUCGGAUUAGCUAGUUGGCGGGGUAACGGCCAACCAAGGCGACGAUCCGUAGCUGGUCUGAGAGGACGAUCAGCCACACUGGGACUGAGACACGGCCCAGACUCCUACGGGAGGCAGCAGUGGGGAAUAUUGGACAAUGGGGGAAACCCUGAUCCAGCGACGCCGCGUGGGUGAAGAAGGCCUGCGGGUUGUAAAGCCCUUUCGGUAGGGACGAAAGCUCUCGACCUAACACGUCGGGAGGUUGACUUAACCUACAAAAGAAGCACCGGCUAACUCUGUGCCAGCCGCCGCGGUAACAC
rnacentral:rRNA from 1 species